rnacentral:rRNA from 1 species
UACGAAGGGGGGCUAGCGUUGCUCGGAAUCACUGGGCGUAAAGCGCACGUAGGCGGAUUGCUAAGUCAGGGGUGAAAUCCUGGAGCUCAACUCCAGAAAUGCCUUUGAUACUGGCGACCUUGAGUCCGGGAGAGGUGAGUGGAACUGCGAGUGUAGAGGUGAAAUUCGUAGAUAUUCGCAAGAACACCAGUGGCGAAGGCGGCUCACUGGCCCGGUACUGACGCUGAGGUGCGAAAGCGUGGGGGAGCAAACAGG